GAGCAACGCCGCGUGAGUGAUGAAGGCUUUCGGGUCGUAAAACUCUGUUGUUAGGGAAGAACAAGUGCUAGUUGAAUAAGCUGGCACCUUGACGGUACCUAACCAGAAAGCCACGGCUAACUACGUGCCAGCAGCCGCGGUAAUACGUAGGUGGCAAGCGUUAUCCGGAAUUAUUGGGCGUAAAGCGCGCGCAGGUGGUUUCUUAAGUCUGAUGUGAAAGCCCACGGCUCAACCGUGGAGGGUCAUUGGAAACUGGGAGACUUGAGUGCAGAAGAGGAAAGUGGAAUUCCAUGUGUAGCGGUGAAAUGCGUAGAGAUAUGGAGGAACACCAGUGGCGAAGGCGACUUUCUGGUCUGUAACUGACACUGAGGCGCGAAAGCGUGGGGAGCAAACAGGAUUAGAUACCCUGGUAGUCCACGCCGUAAACGAUGAGUGCUAAGUG
rnacentral:rRNA from 1 species